GAUGAACGCUAGCUACAGGCUUAACACAUGCAAGUCGAGGGGCAGCAUUUUAGUUUGCUUGCAAACUAAAGAUGGCGACCGGCGCACGGGUGAGUAACACGUAUCCAACCUGCCGAUAACUCGGGGAUAGCCUUUCGAAAGAAAGAUUAAUAUCCGAUAGUAUAUUAAACCGACAUGGUUUUACUAUUAAAGAAAUUUCGGUUAUCGAUGGGGAGUGCGUUCCAUUAGUUUGUUGGCGGGGUAACGGCCCACCAAGACUACGAUGGAUAGGGGUUCGUGAGAGGAAGGUCCCCCCACCAUUGGAACUGAGACACGGUCCAAACUCCUACGGGAGGCAGCAGUGAGGGAAUAUUGGGUCAAUGGGACGAGAGUCUGAACCAGCCAAGUAGCGUGAAGGGAUGACUG
rnacentral:rRNA from 1 species